AUCAAAAUAAAAAAAUGGCACAUUGGUGAUCUCCAUGAGAUUGUAAAGUAGAAGUCCUCCAUUGGUGAUCCAUACAGAAGUUGGCCAAGGUCCUUACUAACCGGUGCAUCAUCGCAGCCUUGUCUUCUCAAGACUACUACUGGCUUCAAACUAAAAGAACGAUCACGCCAAAGCCCAAUUGCUUCCAAACUUGCCAUCA
rnacentral:lncRNA from 1 species